rnacentral:lncRNA from 10 species
UAGAAAACUCGGCAUACAGCAGGAUUCCAAUUGUUAAAUAUGUUUAAAAUGUACCAAGACGACUUCUAUAUAUGAUUAUAAUGAUUAUUAUUUUUACCUGUUCUUUAUGCAUAUCCACCUUUAUACAACAAAUGCUUAAAAUCAUUAUACUCAAAAAUGUUUUAAAAAUGUAAUUGUAUAACUAAUUUUCAAUCGUCUUUGCCCUUGAAAGGGAGUUCUAAGACCAAUCACUUCAGUAAGAACUUAACUAGUAAACACUUGUCUCUCAUGAGGUUAUAGUCAUUCUCAUUGACAUGAACAGGUUAAAGACAGCAAGAAAUGUGUUUGUGAAAAGUCAAGUGCCGUCUGAGUUGCCAAAUUUCUGGAGAACAGUGUUGUAUGGAAUAAAACGAAAAUAAAAUCCUAGAUUGUGAGUUAGGAAAUCAAAAUGUUAAUACUAGCUGUGCCACUAAAUGGUUGUAGAGCUGGACUAGCUUACUUCCCCUCUUUGUUUUUGACUUGUUUCAUUUGUAAAAUGAGAAAAAAAUCACUCCUUCACUCGUUCAUUUAUUCACUUCUUUAAGAAAUGUUUCUCAAGGUUAUAUUGUGGGUUGAGUACUAUUGUAGACACUGAGGACAGAUCAGUGGAAAAACACAAAUGUGGCUCUUGCCUUCAGAGAACUUAUGGUCCAGUGGGGAAGAAAAAGCAUGGACUACUAACUAAGUAAAUAUGUGUAAUAGUAUCAGGUGCUGUGAAGGAAAAUGAAGCCAGGUAAGGAGAAAGAGAGCAGCCUGCAAGGUCCCUAAGGAGGUGAUUUGUAAGUAGAUAACUGAGUGAAACAUAGAAGCAAAUCUUGCUGCAAUCCAGAGGGGAGGGUGUCCCAGGUAGAGGGAAUAGCCUAUGCAAUAUACGGGAAACAGAAGUGUGGCUGCAGUCGAGAGACUCAGGCAGAGAGUGACGAAAAUGAAAGUCAAUUCUUUUCCACUGCCGUAUAACCAAAUAGAAUCCAUGGGAGAGCCUGUCGGCAAGCUCAAAAUGCUCCUGGCGCACUUGAGCUCUAAAGUCCAAGGCCUUCACACAGGGAAUGCAUUACAGGAACUUCAUCAGUUCUGCCGUGAUGCUUUGAAGGCCCGCUGUGCAACUAUUAGCUGAUCCCACUUAACAGACAGUGACGCAGUCACCAGGCAUGUUUGUGCCCAAGCAGGUGAUGAUUUUCUCUCCACUGACUCCAGUCAAGGACUUUUCCCUUCCAGGUUUCAGGCUCCAGGUGACAUUGGGCACAGAGGGUCAGGUGGAAAGUGAACAGGUCACGCGCCGGGCAGGUGACACGAUCGGUGCUCUGCUCACAUUUCAAAGAGCCCACUUUUCCUCCUAUGUGUCAAGCACACAGUUACUUUGAAUGCUGCAGAGUAAGAUGAUUCAUCAAUUUCCGAACGCUUGAGAAAGGAAUCACUGUUUAGAUAUUUUAAAUGUUUUCCUAACCCUUACAGAGGUAGCUAUAGCUCAGGAAGAUAAACUGAAAUGAAGGUAAGAACAAAAAAAGAAGCAAUUGCUCUCAUCUAUAAUUAUAAGCUUUAUCAUUUAUUGUGCACUGAUAGUUGCAUUUCCAAGCAGACAUUAUUAAUUAGUGAAAUAAUGAGGCAAUUUGCAUUCAUCCUGAUUCAGAAAAAUUCAAACUACUUCAACAGACCAAGCAUAGGUAACUCAGCCUAAUUACUUUUUGCUUUUUUAUUAGAUGAGGAAACCGAGGCAUAUAAAUGGAAUGGAUCAUGAAAUGAAGUAAAGUUAAAGAAGUUUUAGUCAAAGCUUCAUAGAAAUCAGAUUUUCAUCAAGGAUGAAAGUGAAUUGGGAUUAUUUGUAGAGAUGUAUUAGAGUAGAAGGAGGUUAAUUACUUUCUGAUUAGGUUAACCUCUGAGUAUCACCAUCAGCUUUGGCAGGUUAUCUAAGCUCUCUGAGUCAGUUUCUCUACCCAUAAAAUGGAGCUGUCAAUCCUUGUCUGACAUGCAUGAUUGUUCUACAGAAUAAAUGAAAAACCUAUGUGCCUGCAAAACAAAAGUGGGUUGUCAUGUGAAUGGAUGGCUACUGCCCAGAGCCCAGGAGAAGCACCAUUUCAGGAGCGGGGUGGGGAGGAGGCUCUGCAUUAACCUAGAGUGUGUUGGGCUACAUAGUUCUGGAAGAACUUCUAUCCAGCAAGCUGGGACCACACAACAGAAUGAAAUUAAAAUCAGCUUAAGAGAUGUGUGUGAUGUCUAGAUGGGUUUCUAGUCUGAGGCAUACAGAAGAAUCCUGGCAGAUCUGUUUUCCACACACACAAAAAAAGAAUAGAGCCAGGAGAGUUUGGAACCAAGUGGUUCCAACCAUAUAUCCAACCAUCCAAUGACCUGAUUCUGAAAUGAGUUGAUUUGUGAAAGCAUUUGUAGGCCUGCUUUUACAGGAUGCUAGGUUUGUGACACAGAGAAGCUCUCAUGGCUAAAAUGUUCUGCUCUGUGCAAUUAGAACUGACAGCAUAUAUCUAAAAAAUGGCAUUCACAAGUACUUUACGCACUUUAGGAAAACACUUAUAUUGGACAAGCAUAAAUAGCAAGGGGCCAGGAGGCCCCUUUCCUAUGUUAGUUUCUUUUUGUUUUGUUUUUAAACAAGGGUCAACCAGUCUUCUGAGGUAAAACAGAAGAAACAAUAAAUAAUCAGAAACACAAUGUCACGAAGGCUCUUUGCUUUUUAAACUCAAAGAAACACAAGCUGAGAGAGGUUUAGUCACUUCACUCAGAUUACAAAGUGUAGACAGUGUUAAAUCAGAAUCCUGAGUCAGGGAUCUUCCCUUCCAAGCAAGGUGUUUUCUUACUUCACCCAACAUGCCUCUUCAUGGAUGCACCUUCCUGAGUUGCAGCCAGCUCCUCGGAGGGUAAGAUGACUGUCAUUUCUGAGUCCGAAGAUCAGGCCAUGAUGUGGUUUGGCUGUGUCUCCGCCCACAUCUCAUCUUGAAUUGUAACUCCCAUAAUUCCCACGUGUUGUGGAAGGAAACUGGUGGGAGAUAACUGAAUCAUAGGGGCAGUUUCCCCCAUACUGUUUUAGUGGUAGUGAAAAAGUCUCACAAGAUCUGAUGGUUUUAUAGGGGAAAACCUUUUUGCUUGGUUCUCAUUCUCUCUUGCCUGCUGCCAUGUAAGAUGGGCCUUUUGCCUUCCAGCAUGCUUGUGAGGCCUCCCAGUCACGUGGAACUGUGAGUCCAUUAAACCUCUUUUUCAUUAUAAAUCACCCAGUCUCAGGUAUGUCUUUAUUGGCAGUGUGAGAAAAGACUAAUGCAGGUCACUCAGGAUUCUCAUCCCAGAGAGAAUAAAAUGAAAAGCAAAGUUGUUGAGCAAAAAGCAAUAUGCUGUUUGGACUCAGAGAUCUGGCUGUGGUCUCAGAUAAGUCAAUGAACUUCAUUGAGUGUCAAUUUCCUCAUCUGUUAAAUAUGGAUAGUGGAGGCUACCUUGCUGAUUUGUUUGGGCAUCGAAUGUUACAAGAAAAUGACAUGUGAGAGACAUUAAUAAAGAGGAAAACAGCAAAGAAACAUCUCUGUUCUUUCUCCUUCUGCUUCACUUUCUUCUCCUCAAUGCUAUUAUUAUCUUUUAUCAUCUUACCCUCAUUCAAUGGCAUGAAAAUAGCUUCUCAUUUCAUCUAGGUCUUCAUCACAUAUAUUUGAUUUGAUUUGCUUUAUUGGGCUCUAGGAGUAUGAACACAGUACAGAUUGUCUUACAUUGGCCUUAUCUUUCUUCAAGCUGCACUCAUCUUUCUGAAUAACCUGAAUGAAGGCAGGAAGCAGGAUGACAAGGGGCUCUGCAUCUUUCCGUAUUUAUCAUUUGGUAGGAAUAAUGUAAGGAUUCUAUGUUUCCCCCACCAUCGACUGUAAUAUUCUAUUCUAUUGUCUUGAAUUGCUUGUGAUAAGGAGGGAGUGUUCGUUAAAUAUUAUCUAGCUAAUAGUACCCUUAUUUGUAUAGGGCACCUGUUAUCCCAAGGUUUCACUUUACCCAACAAAUAUCUCAUUAUCUAAACGAUACAUCCCAAUGCCACCAAUAACGAAAUCUCCUCCACAACCUCAGUUUCCAAAAGAACUAAAAGUUCUAAAAAGAAUUCUUUGGUUGUGUUUCUAGGCUGUUUUCCCACCCCUUGGAAAAUAUUGUGUCACAGACUUUAUUUUUCUGUUGAGACCCAGGAAGCAAUAAGGUCUGAGGCACUAGGUUGGGAGACAGGAGGUCCAUGCUUUGACGGUGAUUGUGGUGGUUAUUUUGAUGAUAUCAUACUUGAUCACUUACCACAUGGCUUUCGAUUCUUAUGUUUUAAUUGAUGUAAUUCUAACCAAAAUAUCGGUCAGGGUAUUUUUGAUAUAAGGAACACAAGAACCAACUGAGAAUGGUAUAAAUAAAAGACAAUAUUAUUAUCUCACUUAAAACACUUGUGAUGGUAGGAUGCUUUCAGGAUUGGCUCCACACCUUGGGAUUCUCGCCUCUUCAGCCUGUCGGCUUUUGCCUUCAGAUGUUUCCUCUCAAUGAACAAGGUGGCUACUGUAGCUCCAGGCAUCAUAAUAAUUGUUUCUUAUCAUGUUGUUAAGCUGUGUCUCUUCUCCUGGUACUUUGCACUGGCUAGUCCCCCAAAUCUGCCACUUGGUGCAUGGAAUGACUGUGAUGCCCAGCCAGUUUUUCCCCAGUAUGGAUCCUGCUAACUGUUGGUUUUGAUUCUGCCUACCAGCCCUGCAUUAUUUUCACUUAACAUCGAUCCAGCAAAUAUUUAUCCAGUACCUAUGAUGUUCCUGGCACUGGGCUGGGCUCUGUAGAUACAAUGGUAAGCAAGAUGUGUAUGACCCCGAAAAGAAAGGAACAGUAAUAAUUAGGCGUAAAAAAGAAUAUGCUUGUGAAGUCUAGGGUACAAUGAGAGAACACACUCAAAGCAAAGCACAAUAUAUCCAUAAAACGAUAUUUGUCUUUCUUACUUGCCUGAGGUGAUCUUUCCUUUCCCUUAUGCCAGUUCAAUCCUACUCAUUUUAGGAUGCUACUGGGUAUAGCUACAGAACACAAUACAACACAAAACCUAAAAUGACUUCAGCAGCAUAAGACAAAGCUCGUUUUUGUUUUUGUUUAAUUCAUGUGAUUGCAUAGUCCAGGGAUAAUUGAUUUUAGGAGAAGCUUCAUCUUAUAACUCAAGGUAGGACCUAGAAUAGCUUUCUCUCCAUUUCUCAGCUCUAAUUGUUCUGCAUUUACUCCAUUUUGGCAAGCUCCUUCUCUACUGGUCUCGAAAUUAUUGUUAUUGGCUGCCAAGGAUGCAUGCUUCCUGGUUCACCAACAGCAAGGAGGGGUGUAUCAAAUAAAAGUCCUGGCUUUUGCCUAAUUAGCACUCCCCACCCCCAUAAGUACUGUAGCUACUGUACGGGUAGACAGAAGAAUGUAUGUUGAGUAGGUAAGUACUGAGCCACAUGCCUCACCUCUAGACCCAGGGAUGAGGUUAACUUACCUAAAUUAUAUGGUCUUCCUGAGAGAGGAGUCGUGUAUAGGAAUCAUGCACAUUUCUUCAUAUUUAAACUUAUUGCAAAAUUGCCAUAAAAAUUGUGUUUCAAUCUUAACCCCCACCAACAGCAAAUGAAGGUUGUCAUUUCUUUACAUUCUCAUUAACACUUGGUAUCUUUUGAACCUUAUUAAUGCUAAUUCUUAAAGAUGUGAAAUGGAAUCUUACUGUAUGUGGGCUAUUUUUGUCUCCUUUGUCAUAAAUUGCCAGUUUAAAUAAUUUGACUAUUCUAAAAUUAGGUUUUCCCCCACCAUAUUUAUUUUACACACUUGGUUUUUUUCUCUAUUUUUUUUUUUUUUUUUUUGCAAAUAAUUUUUAUUGGUCUGUGUCUUUCUGCUUUGAUAUUAGUGCAUUUGUCAUACAGAUGCUUUGAAUUUCAAGGUAUUCAAAGAUAUUAAUCCUUUACUUUAUGAUGUCGUCUUUUUGUGCCCUAUCUAAAAACUUAUUUUCUUGCCAAAGGCAGUAAAAAUAACCUUCUAUAUAUUUGUUUAAAAGUUUUAAGGUUGUUUUAUUAUUCACCUCUAGUUUCUUCAUUCACCUGGAAUUUAUUUUUGUGAAUAAUGUGAAGUAAGGACCUUAUUUAUUUACUUAUUUACUACAAUUUGCAUAGUCAAUUUUUCUAGUCCUAUUUAUUGGCAGCUUUAUUUAUUCCUGAUGUUUUUUUAAUGUACUAAGUCUUUGCUUCUAAAUGAGUCUAAUUCUGGGUUCUACAUCUAUUAACAUUAUUUUGUGCUUUCUAACUUUCAUUCUUUGUUUGUGCUUUUCUUUCCCUCCUUCCCUGUCUUCUUUCACAUUGGUCAGAUUGUCUUUAUUUCUUCCCCUUUCCUCAUGCUCUAAUGAUCUAAAAGCUAUAACUUCUACAUUCUGUUCUUUAGAAUUAUUCUUAACAUCACACCUAAUCUUGAUUUAGCAAUGUCAAAGUUCACAGGGGAUAUACCUAUUCCCCAAGGCAAAAAAAUAACAUUUUACCACACUUUCACACCUAUCAUCCACUUUUAUCUUUCAUGGUGUUGGUAAUUAGUAUUCUAGUUCCAUUUUUUUUGCAACACUUUAGUAAUUAUUUUGCUGUUUUAUACAGUAAGCCUUAUUUAGAUUUAUCUACAGACUUCCCAAUUUAUUGGCACAUAAUUGCUACUUGAAUUCUUCUUGUUCAUCUUUUAAGCACUUUGCAAGCAUUAUUUCACUGGUUUCCAGUGUCCAUUGCUACUGUCAGUCUAAUCGUUGCUCUCUUUACUCUAUGCUUACUUUUACAAUAAUCUCUCUGUGUGUAGCAUUCUUACUUCUCCAUGGUAUAGCUAACUGAGGUUUGUGUUUGCUUUAUCUUCCACAGAAUUCAGUAUGUUUCUUUAUUCUGAAGGCUCAUAUAUAUCUUCAAGUUGAGGAACUUCUAAGGCAUAAUUUUUUUAAAUGCUACUUUUCCCCCACUCUCUCUACUCUCUCUCUCUCUUUGAUAACCUGCUAAAUACAUAUUGAACAAACUUAUUCUAUUCUCCAUAUGUCUUAGCUUUUCUUUUAUCUUUUCUAUCUUUAUUUUUGCUGAGCCAAGUUCUUUUAAUCUCUUUAGAUCUAUUUUCACUAAUUCUUUAUUCUUUUAUAACUAUGUGUUGUGUAACCCUUCCAUUGAGUUUCCCCCUGCUGCCACAGCUAGACAUUUUUCAUCUUUAGAAAUUCUCUUUUAUUUUCUCUUUAUAAUGUGCAUCUGUGUUUUUGCUCACAGUACAUUUUUUUCCUUUUAGUUAUAAUCCAUUUAUGUUUAUCUUUAAUAUAUUUAAAUACUCUUUAUAGCCCCUCUCUGAUUGUUCUAGUAUACUGAAUUAUUGAUGUACUAUCACCCCAGUGAGUUGUGUCUGCUGGCUUGCCCUCAUGGAGCAUCAUUUCCUUAAAUGGUUUAUAAUUUGUGAUUGUGAGCUCAUCUUCAGUGGAGAUUGUUUCUUUCACCAUUAGGAUCACACAGGCUGAGAGGAACAGCUGGGAGGAAGGUGAGGGAACUGGUGACAUGUAGCCUUGAGAACAGUUUGGAAAGAGACAUGAUAACCAUUCACUCAUAACCAUAUGAUAGAAGUAGACAUUUUCUGUGAUGCUCCCAAAAUGCAAAACAUAUGCCAUCAAUUAUUUAGCAUUUCAUAUUUUCUUACAUAGUGAUACCCAGUUGUUUCAUGGGUCGAAACUAGUUUUUAUAUCAGUAAUUCUGUUUAGAAUUUCUAUACCUAUGGGAACUGUAAAUUUAGGCCCUUAAACUCAAGUGGUAUAGCCUUGUGUUUUGAUUUCUCUUGAGAGACAUUUCUUUUCCAUCCAAGGACCUGGGGAGAGAAAAAUCUUUUGUUGUUUCUGAACAUCAGUGUUUAGAGUUUUUCCAGUAUCCUUCUAAUGUAAGUGGAACUCCUUAUAAGAUCUUGUAUCUGCAAGAACAUGUUUCACCUCUGCACUGUACUCAGGCUCUAGCUUUCAUCUUCUUGAUCCCAUAGAAACAUUUAAAUCUCAGCUGUCAAUCAUGAAAGCCUAUGUCUGUGCCUAGUAUUCAUUAACAAGUUUCCACAAUGCCAACUCAGAUACUUCCUACUGUGACCAAUUUAAAUUUCUUCUCAAUUUUGGGUAUUUUGAAAUGUAUCUUUUUUUAGAGCUUGCCUUUGUUUCUUUUAAAAUGCUUAUUUUAACCACAUUUAUAUGAAUUUUGUGUGAGGCUAUACUGCUAUACUUCAUUUUUAUGUUAUUAAAUGUUAAAUCUGAAGGUACAUCUAUCUAUCUAUCUAUCUAUCUAUCUAUCUAUCUAUCUAUUUAUCAUCUAUCCAUCCACUUAUCUAUAUCACUCAGGAGACUGUGAGUUCCUUAUGGGCCUGAAUGUUACCUUUUUUAAAAGUUAGGUAACAAACACAAAUAUUGCUAAGUUCUUACUCUCACACAAUUAGGAGUAUUAUUAAGUAAUAAACAUUCUGCAUUCCAAUUUUCUUAUCUAAAAAUGGUGAUACUAAUACCUACCUCUUAGAAGUGUUACGCAAAUGAAACAACAAAUUCAUGAACAAAAUUGGCACAAUGUCUAAUAUGUAGCAAAACAAAACAAUAAACAGAAACGGAAAGAAAAAUCUUCAAUAAAUGCUAAUUUGUAUUAUCAGGAAAUUUGUUAAAUGGGUAGACGAAUAAAUAAAAGAGUCUUAACAAUUCACACACGGAGAGCUAUGCAUCCCAGAUUCUGCAAAGCAGAUUUUUUCUCAAUAUGGAGAAGUGUGAUUUCAUUCUACAACCAAAGGCAUGUCAGCCUCCACUGGUAUCCAAGCCCUAGAAAGCACCGAGGACAAGUUGCCUGGCCUUGGGAUCCAGGUAGCAUUCCCUGGCUUCCCUCCACCCAGUUAUUGAGCGACUACUCUUUGAUACUUUCUUGCUUGUCUUGCACUUCUUGCAAGUGUGCUAGAAUUACAGAAAUAAUAACCUCCCACUCUCCUUUGGGAAUAUUGUUACCCCUGAUGUAAUUUGUCAUGCUACUGAUAUGUAAUCACAAUGUCAACUUUUUCUUUUAUUGGAAGAAAAAGAGUAAUUUGGGUUAACAGGUCUCAGGCUAGAGAAAUGAAGCUGAAGAGUAAAAGCAGGUUAAUAUCUUAUUAAGACCAAAGACUUUGAAGGAGGCAGCUCUUCUGAGGAGAUCUGAAAACCCACUUCCCAUUGCAUAUGCACGGUGCUUAGGUUGCAUUCUAGGUGUUACCUGCUCAUCAAAUGUUUCCACGCCGUGGCCUCACCCAGGUUAAAUCUUUCGGUUUAAAUCUUUAAAGUUGUCUCUUCUUAAAAGAGAGGGGAAAAUCAGAGUAGUAUCUUAUAAAGUGUGCCUCAUUUGGGAAAUGAAAAUGAGGUUUGGUGACCAGGGGGUGGGAGGAGUCAGGACUUGGAACAGGCCUGUGACUUUCUCCUUUGGGUUUUUCCCACAAUGACCCCGGCAGCCACUCCAUGUGACCUCUGUCUAAAGACAUGAAAAACAGCUGGGAGGAAGGUGAGGAAACUGGUGACAUGUAGCCUUGAGAACAGAUUGGAAAGAGACAGGACAAACAUUCACUCACAACCGUAAGGUGGAAGUAGACAUUUUCUGUGAUGCUCCCCAAAUGCAAAACAUAUGCCAUCAAUUAUUUAACAAGCAUUUACUGAACACUAUCUCUGUACUAGGCUCUGUGCCAGCAAUGGAAAUACUAGAGAAAAUGUAAUACAAAGUGAAUAUUAUAUGCCCAGUAUGCAAAGUGUUUUAUUUUUACUAUGUCACUUAAUUUUCACAAUACUGCAAAGACAAUAUUGUCUCAUAUAUGUAAGAACUAUAUUAUGCUGCUUUCCAGUUGCUGGAAAACCAAGUUUUUCCCAGUGUGGAAGUUACUGUGAUUUAAUUGAAGACAAUUCAGCAUUGUAGCUAGAUAAGCAUAGGUUUAUUGACCCCACUUCUACUUAUUAGUUUUGUUACCAUCGUCAACUUAGUUCCAAUUCUUCUAGGCUCAAUCUGCUCAUGCAUAAAAUAAGAGUGAUAAUAACUACUUCGGAGGAUACUCACAGGAUUAAAAUAAGAUAUAUUAAUACAUAAGCAUAUUAAAAGUUAGCAUUUAUUGACCACUUUCUUUAAGCCAGGCAUGUGCUAAACCCUUUAUAAACAUCUUAUUUAAUCCAGCACUUCUAAAGUACAAAUAAUUCCAAUUUCUUUCAAAGAAACUAAGGUUCACAAAGAAUUGUUUUUUGCUGAAAGCCAUGCAACUAGUAAGUGCCAUAGUUGGCA